GGCGGCGUNCCUAACACAUGCAAGUCGGACGCGAACAGGGCUUCGGCCCUAAGUAGAGUGGCGCACGGGUGAGUAACGCGUAGGUAAUCUACCUCUGGAUUGGGGAUAACUCUGCGAAAGCGGAGCUAAUACCGAAUGGUCUGGCUUUAUUUUGAUGAAGUCGGUAAAGGAUGCCUCUGCAUAUGCAUCUGUCCAGAGAUGAGCCUGCGUCCCAUUAGCUAGUUGGUAGGGUAAAGGCCUACCAAGGCGACGAUGGGUAGCUGGUCUGAGAGGAUGAUCAGCCACACUGGAACUGGAACACGGUCCAGACUCCUACGGGAGGCAGCAGUGGGGAAUAUUGGGCAAUGGGCGCAAGCCUGACCCAGCAACGCCGUGUGAGGGAUGAAGGCCUUCGGGUCGUAAACCUCUGUCAGAAGGGAAGAACGGGCACAGUUCGAAUAGGGCUGUGUUUUGACGGUACCUUCAGAGGAAGCACCGGCUAACUCCGUGCCAGCAGCCGCGGUAAUACGGAGGGUGCGAGCGUUAUUCGGAAUCACUGGGCGUAAAGGGCGCGUAGGCGGCCUGGUAAGUCAGGGGUGAAAUCCCACGGCUCAACCGUGGAAUUGCCUUUGAAACUGCUGGGCUUGGAUCCUGGAGAGGGUGGCGGAAUUCCUGGUGUAGGAGUGAAAUCCGUAGAUAUCAGGAGGAACACCGGUGGCGAAGGCGGCCACCUGGACAGGUAUCGACGCUGAGGCGCGAAAGUGUGGGGGAGCAAACAGGAUUAGAUACCCUGGUAGUCCACACCGUAAACGAUGGAUACUAGGUGUUGGGGGCAUGACCCUCAGUGCCGGAGCUAACGCGUUAAGUAUCCCGCCUGGGGA
rnacentral:rRNA from 1 species